ACAUUUGAGAUGCAUUUUUUGUUGUUGUUGAAACGGAGGCAUAAGUUUUGCAUCAUCCAUUAAGUAAGAGAGGAGAAAAGAGUUUGUUACACACAUCUAUUACUAUUACGUAAGGUUGUUAUUGUCCUGGCAUGAUAUUACCCAACUUUUUCACACCCGCAAUAACCAGUGUUCUGCUUCCCUCUUGAUGGAGCCGUUUGAACCUGUAGCCACUUUGGUUAUCCAACUUUUUCUGCACCUGUAGCCACUUGAACCGAUGAGAAUUCUUCAAGCCUACCUAUAGCCACUUGAACAGAUGUCUAUCUCAGAUCUGCUCGUCUAAAAAAUCCAAGUGGAGUAGUAUACUGGUAGUAUAGUAUAAUAAUAUUAUCAAAAGGUAAAUGCCCUGAUUAGUUAGCUCUGUCAGAUAAAUACUCGUCAAAAGUGGGCUCUUAUCAAAAUUCAUUUCCAUUAUAAUCUUACUCAUACAAUAUGCACCAUGUAAUUCUGAAAAUAUAUGCUUAUAUCUAGUUCUGCAUAAAAAUGACAGUAUUGACAUGUUAUAAAUAGUUUGUUUGUAUUUCUGUUUAUUUUGUUACAUUUUGCAGGGAUAAAGUGAAGAAAAAGAAGAAAAGAUUACUAGAAGAUUAGUUUUAGGAUUUUCUUUUAUUUCCUUGCACAUUUCCUUUUAUUGGAUACUUGUAAAGACAUUGUAAUAUUCUUACUAUAAUAAAAAAUAUGAUUCUAUUUCAUUUUUUGUUUUUAAAUUAUUUUCCUUAUAGGUUGUUUUCUGUAAAUUUGGAUUUUUUUUGUUUUCCAAAUACAUUACUAGUGGCGCAUCAUCAACUAGUGCGCCAUUAGUAAGCCAGAGCA
rnacentral:rRNA from 1 species